GGGUUGUGAGGUUAAGCGACUAAGCGUACACGGUGGAUGCCCUGGCAGUCAGAGGCGAUGAAGGGCGUGCUAAUCUGCGAUAAGCGCCGGUAAGGUGAUAUGAACCGUUAUAACCGGCGAUACCCGAAUGGGGAAACCCAGUGUGACUCGUCACACUAUCAUUAACUGAAUCCAUAGGUUAAUGAGGCGAACCGGGGGAACUGAAACAUCUAAGUACCCCGAGGAAAAGAAAUCAACCGAGAUUCCCCCAGUAGCGGCGAGCGAACGGGGAGGAGCCCAGAGCCUGAAUCAGCAUGUGUGUUAGUGGAAGCGUCUGGAAAGGCGCGCGAUACAGGGUGACAGCCCCGUACACAAAAGCGCAUGUGCUGUGAGCUCGAUGAGUAGGGCGGGACACGUGGUAUCCUGUCUGAAUAUGGGGGGACCAUCCUCCAAGGCUAAAUACUCCUGACUGACCGAUAGUGAACCAGUACCGUGAGGGAAAGGCGAAAAGAACCCCGGCGAGGGGAGUGAAAAAGAACCUGAAACCGUGUACGUACAAGCAGUGGGAGCCCCACCACCAAAGCAUUUGCUGUACCGCGUUGACGGAGCGAAGCGACGUCAAACCGAUAAAACAGCAGUGUAAAGUGAGCCGCAGGGCGCUUUGCGCGACAGCGCAAAGGCAGGCGGUUUCGCGUAGCGAAAGCGAAUGCUUUGGGGUGGGGUGACUGCGUACCUUUUGUAUAAUGGGUCAGCGACUUAUAUUCUGUAGCAAGGUUAACCGAAUAGGGGAGCCGGAGGGAAACCGAGUCUUAAUUGGGCGUUAAGUUGCAGGGUAUAGACCCGAAACCCGGUGAUCUAGCCAUGGGCAGGUUGAAGGUUGGGUAACACUAACUGGAGGACCGAACCGACUAAUGUUGAAAAAUUAGCGGAUGACCUGUGGCUGGGGGUGAAAGGCCAAUCAAACCGGGAGAUAGCUGGUUCUCCCCGAAAGCUAUUUAGGUAGCGCCUCGUGAAUUCAUCUCCGGGGGUAGAGCACUGUUUCGGCUAGGGGGCCAUCCCGGCUUACCAACCCGAUGCAAACUGCGAAUACCGGAGAAUGUUAUCACGGGAGACACACGGCGGGUGCUAACGUCCGUCGUGAAGAGGGAAACAACCCAGACCGCCAGCUAAGGUCCCAAAGUCAUGGUUAAGUGGGAAACGAUGUGGGAAGGCCCAGACAGCCGAGAUGUUGGCUUAGAAGCAGCCAUCAUUUAAAGAAAGCGUAAUAGCUCACUGGUCGAGUCGGCCUGCGCGGAAGAUGUAACGGGGCUAAACCAUGCACCGAAGCUGCGGCAGCGACACUGUGUGUUGUUGGGUAGGGGAGCGUUCUGUAAGCCUGUGAAGGUGUGUCGUGAGGCAUGCUGGAGGUAUCAGAAGUGCGAAUGCUGACAUAAGUAACGAUAAAGCGGGUGAAAAGCCCGCUCGCCGGAAGACCAAGGGUUCCUGUCCAACGUUAAUCGGGGCAGGGUGAGUCGACCCCUAAGGCGAGGCCGAAAGGCGUAGUCGAUGGGAAACGGGUUAAUAUUCCCGUACUUGGUGUUACUGCGAAGGGGGGACGGAGAAGGCUAUGUUGGCCGGGCGACGGUUGUCCCGGUUUAAGCGUGUAGGUGUGUGUUCCAGGUAAAUCCGGUUCACUUUAACACUGAGGCGUGACGACGAGGCACUACGGUGCUGAAGCAACAAAUGCCCUGCUUCCAGGAAAAGCCUCUAAGCAUCAGGUAACAUCAAAUCGUACCCCAAACCGACACAGGUGGUCAGGUAGAGAAUACCAAGGCGCUUGAGAGAACUCGGGUGAAGGAACUAGGCAAAAUGGUGCCGUAACUUCGGGAGAAGGCACGCUGACACGUAGGUGAAGUGAUUUACUCAUGGAGCUGAAGUCAGUCGAAGAUACCAGCUGGCUGCAACUGUUUAUUAAAAACACAGCACUGUGCAAACACGAAAGUGGACGUAUACGGUGUGACGCCUGCCCGGUGCCGGAAGGUUAAUUGAUGGGGUCAGCGCAAGCGAAGCUCCUGAUCGAAGCCCCGGUAAACGGCGGCCGUAACUAUAACGGUCCUAAGGUAGCGAAAUUCCUUGUCGGGUAAGUUCCGACCUGCACGAAUGGCGUAAUGAUGGCCAGGCUGUCUCCACCCGAGACUCAGUGAAAUUGAACUCGCUGUGAAGAUGCAGUGUACCCGCGGCAAGACGGAAAGACCCCGUGAACCUUUACUAUAGCUUGACACUGAACAUUGAGCCUUGAUGUGUAGGAUAGGUGGGAGGCUUUGAAGUGUGGACGCCAGUCUGCAUGGAGCCGACCUUGAAAUACCACCCUUUAAUGUUUGAUGUUCUAACGUGGACCCGUUACCCGGGUUGCGGACAGUGUCUGGUGGGUAGUUUGACUGGGGCGGUCUCCUCCUAAAGAGUAACGGAGGAGCACGAAGGUUGGCUAAUCCUGGUCGGACAUCAGGAGGUUAGUGCAAUGGCAUAAGCCAGCUUGACUGCGAGCGUGACGGCGCGAGCAGGUGCGAAAGCAGGUCAUAGUGAUCCGGUGGUUCUGAAUGGAAGGGCCAUCGCUCAACGGAUAAAAGGUACUCCGGGGAUAACAGGCUGAUACCGCCCAAGAGUUCAUAUCGACGGCGGUGUUUGGCACCUCGAUGUCGGCUCAUCACAUCCUGGGGCUGAAGUAGGUCCCAAGGGUAUGGCUGUUCGCCAUUUAAAGUGGUACGCGAGCUGGGUUUAGAACGUCGUGAGACAGUUCGGUCCCUAUCUGCCGUGGGCGCUGGAGAACUGAGGGGGGCUGCUCCUAGUACGAGAGGACCGGAGUGGACGCAUCACUGGUGUUCGGGUUGUCAUGCCAAUGGCACUGCCCGGUAGCUAAAUGCGGAAGAGAUAAGUGCUGAAAGCAUCUAAGCACGAAACUUGCCCCGAGAUGAGUUCUCCCUGAGACUUAGAGUCUCCUGAAGGAACGUUGAAGACGACGACGUUGAUAGGCCGGGUGUGUAAGCGCAGCGAUGCGUUGAGCUAACCGGUACUAAUGAACCGUGAGGCUUAACCUUACAACGCCGAAG
rnacentral:rRNA from 1 species